rnacentral:rRNA from 1 species
UAUGGCCACAUCACAUUGAAAUACCUGCUCCCGUAUGAUCACCGAAGUUAAGCAACGUCGAGCUUGGUCAAUACCUAGAUGGGAGACCGCUUCGGAAUACCAGUUACUGUAAG